rnacentral:rRNA from 1 species
UACGUAGGGUGCAAGCGUUGUCCGGAAUUAUUGGGCGUAAAGAGCUCGUAGGCGGUUUGUCGCGUCGGAUGUGAAAAUCCAGGGCUCAACCCUGGACCUGCAUUCGAUACGGGCAGACUAGAGUUCGGUAGGGGAGACUGGAAUUCCUGGUGUAGCGGUGAAAUGCGCAGAUAUCAGGAGGAACACCGGUGGCGAAGGCGGCAUCCUGGACCAACACUGACACUGAGGAGCGAAAGCCAGGGGAGCAAACGGG